rnacentral:rRNA from 1 species
AUGGCCGGUGAGGAGGAGGUGCAGAUGGUAGAGUCUUGCUUUGUGAUGCCGGCCGCUGCCACACCGGGAAGAGCGCUGUGGUUGUCAAUGCUCGACCUCAUUCUAGCCAACAAAGGCCACACCCCACUUAUCCAUUUCUACCGUCGACGUGGUGGUUCCGUCGGAACCACCGAGGAUGACUUCUUUGAUGUGGUCAGGUUGAAGACGGCAUUGGGCAAGGCCCUCGUGGCCUUCUACCCCCUGGCCGGCCGUCUCAGACCGGACGCCAAGGGCAAAUUGGAGAUCGACUGCAACGGCGAGGGUUUACCUUUCCUUGUGGCUCGCUCUCGUCUGACUGUUGAUGACUUUAGUGACUUGAAGCCAUCACCAAGGCUAAGGAGGUUGUUUGUUCCCCUCGUCGACGACUCAGCAGGCAUCUUGUGGGCCAUUCAGGUGACAUUCUUGAAGUGUGGCGGGGUGGUCUUAGGGACGGCGACACACCAUGGCGCUAUGGAUGGAACUGCCGCAUUCCACUUCUUCCGGACAUGGUCAGCUUUCUCUAGGGACCGCGUCCAGGCUGUGGUGAACCUCCCUUACCAUGACCGCACCCGCUUAUGUGCACGCAACCCACCCAUUUUUCACCCUGAUGCACUCUCAACUUUUUUCCCCAAGAUAAUCCUAUCCCAGACUCCAGGGCCUGUUGUCAACGAGGCGUUCACCCUUCAGCAGGACCAAGUUUCCACUCUUGAACACGUUUGCGGUGGCGGAAGCGUGAGCACCUUCAGUGUCGUGAGUGCCCAUGUGUGGCAAACUGGCAAUGCAUGUGUUUAG